rnacentral:rRNA from 1 species
AUUGAACGCUGGCGGCAUGCCUUACACAUGCAAGUCGAACGGUAACAGGUCUUCGGAUGCUGACGAGUGGCGAACGGGUGAGUAAUACAUCGGAACGUGCCUAGUAGUGGGGGAUAACUACUCGAAAGAGUGGCUAAUACUGCAUGAGGUCUACGGAUGAAAGCAGGGGAUCGCAAGCCCUUGUGCUACUAGAGCGGCCGAUGGCAGAUUAGGUAGUUGGUGGGAUAAAAGCUUACCAAGCCGACGAUCUGUAGCUGGUCUGAGAGGACGAUCAGCCACACUGGGACUGAGACACGGCCCAGACUCCUACGGGAGGCAGCAGUGGGGAAUUUUGGACAAUGGGCGCAAGCCUGAUCCAGCAAUGCCGCGUGCAGGAUGAAGGCCUUCGGGUUGUAGACUGCUUUUGUACGGAACGAAAAGCCCUGGGUUAAUACCCUGGGGUCAUGACGGUACCGUAAGAAUAAGCACCGGCUAACUACGUGCCAGCAGCCGCCGUAAGAC